rnacentral:lncRNA from 1 species
CUACCCCUGAAGCUUACUGUUAGUGGUCGAGUUUUUCUGGAAGUGGGCUUCCGCGAUCGCGGGGACCAACGCCCUGAGCUCUUGUGCCCAAAGGGGAUCGCCAGGUUUUUUGAUGCGGAUCGAAAGGGACUGGCCCCGGAGCCUACAACCUGACGCAGGUGGGACUUGGGGAAAUGUCGAGAAACCUAGGUCUGGGACUUGAGUUGGCUUCCAGGGCACACAUUCUUGUUCAGAAGAAACACAUUGCAAAAAUCGGGAGGUGACGGGCAGAUGAAGUGUCGGCGCUUCGCCUCGGGACUCCAGUGCAACCUAUGGGGCUUUUGGAAAUGAGGAAGUCGAUGACUCUGCAGGGACUCCUCUGACCCAGGAGCAGAUGGCGCUCGUCUGGGCACUCCCCAGGAGAAAAGGUGCAUCGGGAAGCAGCCUGGCUUGUGGAUGGUGGACAAGGUGGAGGAGAGAGAAUUCCUUGGCAGUAGCAUUAUGAACAAAUGCAGGGCUGAGAAACAGCAUGGUGGCCUUGACUAAGUUUAUGGCGACAGCAGGCGAUGCCUCUUCAUGGGUGGUGGAUGAAGAAACUGAACAGGGCCAUGAUCCUUAUCUGUAAUUUCCCGGCUACCACACUGCUUUGGUGGUCUUCCCUCGUCUCUUCCUGGGUAGAAACAACUACCUGGAGAUCCCAAUGUUCUUGUCAGUGCACUUUUCAUGGACUGCAGUGGUAAGACGAUGUGUUGGAUGCCCAAACACAAACCAAGAGCCCUCUACCUUCGCAAUUCCCGGUGCUGUGGAGCUGUCAGAGUUUUAACAUCUCAACCAAGCCACAUGGAUACUAUUUCCUCAGAAAAGACAAAAUUGAUCCAAGCAGAAGAGUGAACUCACCGAAGAGGACUCUCUACCCAUAACUGGGGAUGCCUCAGCCACUCACACUUACUCCAAGAUUAGUGUCACUGAUUAUGGAAAGAAUUGACUUCUUCCCCUGGUCUUGCUCAUUUUUCUAGAGCCCAGGACAAUAAAUGUGUUUUACGGCAGAGAAAAGUGAAGACGGGUGGAAUUGUGUGUGUUGAGAGAGAAGCAGAUAGGCAAUCUUACGCUUUGGCUCCUAGAUUAUGCAGGUGCCUCUUUUCUAUCAUCUCCAUAAAUCCUACCCUUACUGCGCUUCCUAUUCUGCAGGGGUAUUUUGUUGUCCGUAACAGAACUCCUCCUCUGUCUGUAAAGUUUAGGUUUUGAUAAAAAAUCCUCUUCCCUCCAGAAGCGUCUACUAAAAAUACAAAAAAAUUAGCUGGGUGUGGUGGCAUCCACCUGUAGUCCCAGUUACUCAGGAGACUGAGGCAGGAGAAUCGCUUGAAACUGGGAGGCGGAGGUCGCAGUGAGCCAAGAUCAUGCCACCGCACUCCAGCCUGGGUGAGAGUGAUACUCCGUCUCAAAAAACAAAUGAACAAUAAAAAACAAACAAAAAAGAAAUAAAUGUCUAGGGCUAGGUGCCAUGGCUCAUGCCUAUAAUCCCAGCACUUAGGGAGACAUAGGUGGGCAGAUCACUUGAGGUCAGGAUUUCGAGACCAGCUGGACAACAUGGCAAAACCCUGUCUCUGUUAAAAAUACAAAAAUUAGCCAGGUUUGGUGGCCCACACCCAUUGGGAGGCUGAGGCAUGAAAGUCACUUGAACCUGUGGAACCUGGGAGGUGGAGGUUGCAGGGAGCCAAGAUC